CUAAGGCAGAGACAGAAAAGGAGCGCACAGCAACGACACUAACUCAGCUGUAACACCUGUAACAGAGACUUAUAAACGACAGGAAGAAAAAAAAAGAACUACAUCAUAAGAUUGUCAACAUCCCCAAGAAGGCCCUCAUCCUUAUUGAUCCCUUUGGGAAAGAGGACUAUUAUUCAAGAAAAGUUCUCCACAACUGGAGGAACUACCUUAAAAGGAUGGAGAGAAGGGGCUGAAGCAUGGCAGGUGGAGACUGUGCACCACAAUAAACAGCAGGAUGCCAGUAGCUGCAGAGUUUUGGUUAUGAAGUUUGCAGAAAACUUCAUCACUGAGGAAUCCACAGAGGUCGUCACCACAGUGGAGGCUUUGCAUGAAUACAGGAAGCAGAUCGCCUGUAGCUGCUACAAAAUCCGGGCGAUGCACAAGAUUACUGCAUAGUGCGCCCUGCUGGAGUGCGAUCCACAGCACAGCAUGAUAGGAAUGGUGCAGUGUGGGACAUGUCAUCGGUGGGCCCAUUUGGAAUGCGCCAAGUACACCGACGAAGAAAAUUACACCUGUCCAAAAUGCUUGUGAUUGAAUAAAUGCAGAAUAAAAAAGGAAUAUUUAAAGGUGACCUAUUAUGGCUUUU